rnacentral:rRNA from 1 species
GACAGGGGGUGCAAGCGUUGCUCGGAAUCACUGGGCGUAAAGCGUGCGCAGGCGGUCUUUUAAGUCAGAUGUGAAAUCCCCGGGCUUAACCUGGGAACUGCGUUUGAAACUGAAAGGCUAGAGUGUGGCAGAGGGGGGUGGAAUUCCACGUGUAGCAGUGAAAUGCGUAGAGAUGUGGAGGAACACCGAUGGCGAAGGCAGCCCCCUGGGCUAACACUGACGCUCAUGCACGAAAGCGUGGGGAGCAAACAGG